rnacentral:rRNA from 1 species
UACGUAGGGGGCAAGCGUUGUCCGGAUUUAUUGGGCGUAAAGAGCGUGUAGGCGGCCAGGUAGGUCGGUUGUGAAAACUCGAGGCUCAACCUCGAGAUGUCGACCGAAACCAUCUGGCUAGAGUCCGGAAGAGGAGAAUGGAAUUCCCGGUGUAGCGGUGAAAUGCGCAGAUAUCGGGAAGAACACCCGUGGCGAAGGCGGUUCUCUGGGACGGUACUGACGCUGAGGCGCGAAAGCGUGGGGAGCAAACAGG